rnacentral:tRNA from 1 species
CGACGUCGAUGGCGCGGGUGAGCGCCGACGCCGCGAGCGCGUCAGCGAUACCGGCCGGUCCCUGCGGGCUGAUGUCGG